rnacentral:lncRNA from 1 species
CGCUCGCCUUAGUUCCCAGGCUUUGGCCUCCGGUGGGCGAGAAUCGCGGAGCCUGCGGGGCUGGGUGCCGAAGAGCCGGGCCGGCACCCAAGCGGGCGCGGGGCUGUGCGGGCCAGGCGGAGGCUCAAGCGGGGAUCCCCGAGCACGACCCCCGGAGCCGACGGCGCUGGGGCCCAAGGGGCCGGCCGGGCGGUGGCGACGGCGGAGGCGAAGGGGCGGCGGGACCCGGGCCCGGCCCGUGUGCGUCCUCGACGGCCCGGCCCCGGCUCCGCAGGACGGUGAGCCCCAGGGAGACGGAUCUGGGCUCCGGGAGGGACGCCCUGCCUGGAUUUGUCCCGUAGGCCCGGCCCGGGCCCCUCUGGAGCAGAACGGCCUUGGUGAGGUGGACAGGAAGGGACCUCGCGAGCAGACGCGCGCCCGCGACAGCAACCCCGCCCCGGCCUGUCGGGAGCGGUGGGGCAGAGGCUGCGGAGCCCCAGGAGGAUCUGCCUCCGCUUUCACAGUCCUCCAGAUUUUUACAAGAGCAGCAGAAAAUGAAUAAAUCCCUGG